rnacentral:lncRNA from 1 species
AUGCCCAGAAAAUAUGGUAAGCUAUGUUAACAAGCCAUAUUAGAUAUCAAGCAUUAAUAUGGAAAUAAACCAGCCCACCUGCACCCAGGUGAAAUAAACAGCUUUAUUGCUCACACAAAGCCUGUUUGGUGGUCUCUUCACAUGGACGCGCAUGAAAUUUGGUGCCGUGACUCGGAUCGGGGGACCUCCCUUGGGAGAUCAAUCCCCUGUCCUCCUGCUCUUUGCUCCGUGAGAAACAUCCACCUAUGGCCUCAGGUCCUCAGACCGACCAGCCCAAGAAACAUCUCACCAAUUUCAAAUCCGGUAAGCGGCCUCUUUUUACUCUCUUCUCCAACCUCCCUCGCUAUCCCUCAACUUCUUUCUCCUUUCAAUCUUGGCGCCACACUUCAAUCUCUCCCUUCUCUUAAUUUCAAUUCCUUUCAUUUUCUGGUAGAGACAAAAGAGACAUGUUUUAUCCGUGAACCCAAAACUCCGGCGCCGGUCACGGACUGGGAAGGCAACCUUCCCUUGGUGUUUAAUCAUUGCAGGGACGCCUCUCUGAUCAUUCAGCCAUGUUUCAAGGGUGUCAGACCACGCAGGGACGCCUGCCUUGGUCCUUCACCCUUAGCGGCAAGUCCCGCUUUCCUAGGGGGCAAGAACCCCCCAAUCGCUUAUUUCUGCACCCUGACCUCUUAUCUCUGUGCCCCAAUCCCUUAUUUCCGUGUCCCAACCCCCUCUCUGCUUUUCUGGAGGGCAAGAACCCCACUCCCCUCCUCCGUGUCUCUAUGCUCUCUUUUCUCAGGGUUUGCCUCCUUCACUAUGGGCAACCUUCCACCUUCCAUUCCUCCUUCUUCUCCCUUGGCCUGUGUUCUCAAAAACUUAAAACCUCUCCAACUCACACCUGACCUAAAACCUAAAUGCCUUAUUUUCUUCUGCAAUGCCGCUUGACCCCAAUACAAACUCGACAGUAGUUCCAAAUAGCCAGAAAAUGGCACUUUGAAUUUUUCCAUCCUGCAAAAUCUAAAUAAUUCUUGUCGUAAAAUAGGCAAACAGUCUGAGGUGCCUGACGUCCAGGCAUUCUUUUACACAUCAGUCCCUUCCUAGUCUCUGUGACCAGUGCAACUCGUCCCAAAUCUUCCUUCUUUCCCUCCCGCCUGUCCCCUCAGUACCAACCCCAAGCGUCGCUGAGCCUUUCUAAUCUUCCUUUUCUACAGACCCAUCUGACCUCUCCCUUCCUCCCCAGCCUGCUUGCUCCUCGCCAGGCCGAGCUAGGUCCCAAUUCUUCCUCAGCCUCUGCUCCUCCACCCUAUAAUCUUUUUAUCACCUCCCCUCCUCACACCUGGUCCGGCUUACAGUUUUGUUCCGUGACUAGCCCUCCCCCUCCUGCCCAGCAGUUUACUCUUAAAAAGGUGGCUGGAGCUAAAAGCAUAGUCAAAGUUAAUGCUCCUUUUUCUUUAUCCCAAAUCAGAUAGCGUUUAGGCUCUUUUUCAUCAAAUAUAAAAAUCCAGCCCAGUUCAUGACUUGUUUGGCAGCAACCCUGAGACACUUUACAGCCCUAGACCCUAAAAGGUCAAAAGGCCGUCUUAUUCUCAAAAUACAUUUUAUUACCCAAUCUGCUCCCGACAUUAAAUAAAACUCCAAAAAUUAAAUUCCGGCCCUCAAACCCCACAACAGGAUUUAAUUAACCUCGCCUUCAAGGUGUACCAUAAUAGAAAAAAGUUGCAAUUCCUUGCCUCCACUGUGAGACAAACCCCAGCCACAUCUCCAGCACACAAGAACUUCCAAACGCCUGAACUGCAGCGGCCAGGCGUUCCUCCAGAACCUCCUCCCACAGGAGCUUGCUACAUGUGACGGAAAUCUGGCCACUGGGCCAAGGAAUGCCCGCAGCCCGGGAUUCCUCCUAAGCCGUAUCCCAUCUGUGUGGGACCCCAGUGAAAAUCGGACUGUUCAACUCACCUGGCAGCCACUCCCAGAGCCCCUGGAACUCUGGCCCAAGGCUCUCUGACCGACUCCUUCCCAGAUCUUCUCGGCUUAGCGGCUGAAGACUGACACUGCCCAAUCGCCUCGGAAGCCCCCUAGACCAUCACGCACGCCGAGCUUCGGGUAACUCUCACAGUGGAAGGUAAGCCCGUCCCCUUCUUAAUCAAUACGGAGGCUACUCACUCCACGUUACCCUCUUUUCAAGGGCCUGUUUCCCUUGCCUCCAUAACUGUUGUGGGUAUUGACGGCCAGGCUUCUAAACCUCUUAAAACUCCCCAACUCUGGUGCCAACUUAGACAAUACUCUUUUAAGCACUCCUUUUUAGUUAUCCCCACCUGCCCAGUUCCCUUAUUAGGCUGAGACACUUUAACUAAAUUAUCUGCUUCCCUGACUAUUCCUGGACUACAGCUGUAUCUCAUUGCUGACCUUCUUCCCAAUCCAAAGCCUCCUUUGUGUCCUCCUCUUCUAUCCCCCCACCUUAACCCACAAGUAUAAGAUACCUCUACUCCCUCCUUGGCGACCGAUCAUGCACCCCUUACCAUCUCAUUAAAACCUAAUCACCCUUACCCCACUCAACACCAAUAUCCCAUCCCGCAGCACGCUUUAAAAAGAUUAAAGCCUAUUAUCACUCGCCUGCUACAGCAUGGCCUUUUAAAGCCUAUAAACUCUCCUUACAAUUCCCCCAUUUUACCUGUCCUAAAACCAGACAAGCCUUACAAGUUAGUUCAGGAUCUGCGCCUUAUCAACCAAAUUGUUUUGCCUAUACACCCCGUGGUGCCAAACCCAUAUACUCUCCUAUCCUCAAUACCUGCCUCUACAACCCAUUAUUCUGUUCUAGAUCUCAAACAUGCUUUCUUUACUAUUCAUUUGCACCCUUAAUCCCAGCCUCUCUUCGCUUUCACUUGGACUGACCCUGACACCCAUCAAGCUCAGCAAAUUACCUAGGCUGUACUGCUGCAAAGCUUCACAGACAGCCCCCAUUACUUCCAUCAAGCCCAAAUUUCUUCCUCAUCUGUUACCUAUCUCGGCAUAAUUCUCAUAAAAACACACGUGCUCUCCCUGCCAAUCGUGUCCGACUGAUCUCUCAAACCCAAGCACCUUCUACAAAACUCCUUUCCUUCCUAGGCAUGGUUAGCGCGGUCAGAGUUUUUACACAAGAGCCAGGACCACACCCUGUAGCCUUUCUGUCCAAACAACUUGACCUUACUGUUUUAGCCUAGCCCUCAUGUCUGCGUGCAGUGGCUGCCGCUGCUUUAAUACUUUUAGAGGCCCUCAAAAUAAGUAGAGGCUUUUCCUACAGGGUCUGAGAAGGCCACCGCAGUCAUUUCUUCUGUUCUGUCAGACAUAAUUCCUCAGUUUAGCCUUCCCACCUCAAUACAGUCUGAUAACAGAUGAGCCUUUAUUAGUCAUAUCAGCCAAGCAGUUUUUCAGGCUCUUAGUAUUGAGUGAAACCUUUAUAUCCCUUAUGGUCCUCCAUCUUCAAGAAAAGUAGAAUGGACUAAAGGUCUUUUAAAAACACACCUCACCAAGCUCAGCCACCAACUUAAAAAGGACUGGACAAUACUUUUUACCACUUUCCCUUCUCAGAAUUCAGGCCUGUCCUCAGAAUGCUACAGGGUACAGCCCAUUUAAGGUCCUGUAUAGACGCUCCUUUUUAUUAGGCCCCAGUCUCAUUCCAGACACCAGACCAACUUAGACUGUGCCUCAAAAAAAAAAAAAAAAAACAAAAAACUUGUCAUCCCUACUAUUUUCUGUCUAGCCAUACUCCUAUUCACCCUUCUCAACUACUCAUACCUGCCCUGCUCUUGUUUACACUGUUUCUCCAAGCCAUCACAGCUGAUAUCUCCUGGUGCUAUCCCCAAACUGCCACUCUUAACUCUUGAAGUAAAUAAAUAAUCUUUGCUGGCAGGACUAUGCCAAAUCUCCUUAAGCACUCUCUAAUCAGACAUCAAGUCGUCCCAUUUCUUAGACCUUUUAUACCUGUUUUUCUCCUUCUGUUAUUCCAUUUAGUUUUUCAAUUCAUACAAAACCGUAUCCAGGCCAUCACCUAUCAUUCUAUACGACAAAUGUUUCUUCUAGCAUCCCCACAAUAUCACCCCUUACCACACGACCUCCCUCCAGCUUAAUCUCUCCCACUCUAGGUUCCCACGCCACCCCUAAUCCCGCUUGAAGCAGCCCUGAGAAACAUCGCCCAUUCUCGCUCCAUACCACCCCCCAAAAAAUUUUCGCCGCCCCAACACUUCAACACUAUUUUGUUUUAUUUUUCUUAUUAAUAUAAGAAGGCAGGAAUGUCAGGCCUCUGAGCCCAAGCCAAGCCAUCGCAUCCCCUGUGACUUGCACGUAUACGCCCAGAUGGCCUGAAGUAACUGAAGAAUCACAAAAGAAGUGAAUAUGCCUUGCCCCACCUUAACUGAUGACAUUCCACCACAAAAGAAGUGUAAAUGGCCGGUCCUUGCCUUAACUGAUGACAUUACCCUGUGAAAGUCCUUUUCCUGGCUCAUCCUGGCUCAAAAAGCUCCCCCACUGAGCACCUUGCGACCCCCACUCCUACCCGCCAGAGAACAAACCCCCUUUGACUGUAAUUUUCCUUUACCUACCCAAAUCCUAUAAAACGGCCCCACCCUUAUCUCCCUUCGCUGACUCUCUUUUCGGACUCAGCCCACCUGCACCCAGGUGAAAUAAACAGCUUUAUUGCUCACAAAAAAAAAAAAAAAAAAGACUGCCUGUUUUAGUGUGAUGCCUUAACCAUUGACUUAUUGGAAAUUUACCAACAAGAUGAUGCAUAAUCCCAAGAACUUUGUCCUUCACGGGUAUUUAUUCCACAGGUCAAGGAGAAUAUGAAGUAUUUAUUAGCUUUAAGGUGGUUUUUACCUUAUUGAACCACAUACAUACCAAUAAAAUGUGGCUUUAUGAGGGAUAUAUUUUAGUUCUUUUAUGGUUAAAAUAUGAAGUGCCAAUUCUUACACUAAAAGAGCUAUUCAAUCCCUCUCUUACAAUUCUCUGCUUUUAGAAUUGACUCUUCCCCCCCUUUCUAUACUUGUACUGGAUUGGGUACUUGUCUUGGUCAAGUGACUCGGUUCAAAUUGGAACAUUUCUGUGCAGGUAGGCCCAUAGAAAUGAUUAUGCCUGGAGAAAGACUGUUUGCAUUAAUGGUUGCACCAACCUAAAAAUGUCAGUAAGGAUAGUGGAAUCUCAUUGUCUGCAGGUUUAGUAAAGAAGGUGCAUGCUUUCGUGUGUCUGGAAUCAUGUGUAUGAGCUACGUCCGGAAACACCUGGGAGGCAGCUGAUCUCUCAGGUCUCUGCCCAGCAUACCAUACUUUCUCAACAUGUGUUUAUUACUGAAAAGCAGAAGAGAAAAUCCUCUUGACCAUAUAAUAAAAUAAGAGGCUAUAAUAGCAAGUAGUCACUUUAUUGCUGAUGGUUUCUAACAGUGUAAUCUUCCAAAAACUAAUGUCAGCCAAACCUGCAACAUUUAGGAGACUGGGGUGCUCUGAACUUGUGCUUUGGAAAAUGCUAAUACUUCCUUGAAACUUCAUCUGAGAGUUCUCAUUCUGCAAUACUCAUUGCACAACAGAGGAAAUUUUCAGCUCUGGUUUUACAUUUUCUUCUCUUUUGCGGGCUUGGGGACAGACCUCAAUGUUAUUUUAACUUAGUUUCCUCCAGGCAAGGAGAUUUACUUAAUUGGGUAGCCACUCAAGAAACCCUGUUCCUGCACAUUUUGUAUAACACAGGCCGUGUGCUCCUUUUGGUUUGUGGUGUGUCUGGAAAACAAAAGGAACACAGGAGAAAGGGGAAGCUCGGCCUGUGAAACAUGUCUGGAAGGAGGCUGAAGGAUAUUUAAAUAAAGUGAUUAUUUUUAAGUGUCCAUUGGGCCUAGGUAAGUCCCAGCAAAAUGGCCCUAAAAUCAGAGGUGUGAUUUUUCUGGGUUGUCAGAGUUUAAGUCUGGAAAGGAACAAUAUCUAGGCAUUCACUUGGAAUGUGGCUAUUGUACAUAUAAGCAGAAAGAAGGAUUUUCCAUUCUCUUCUUAUUCCUCUAAAGCUUAAUGAUGAAUUGCUUCCUGCUGGAGACUUACUACAAUCCAGCAGUUGUUGGGAAUAUGACAUCCCAGAAUUGUCUUGCAGAUGUGUGUGCAGGUCCAGAGAGACAUGGAGGUCUGUAGCCAGGAUGCCAGUAACCCAGUCAGACAAGACACAAAUAGAAUGGUUCCCUUCUUGAAGUCUUUACAGGUUUUGGAAAUUGGCUAUGACAAUUAGUCCUACAUGUGUGCUGAAAAAGGCAACCACCAAUAUAAUGACUAGUAACUUCUCAAUCUAACUUAAUAUUUACUCCCCAUACCUGCUAUUUACUGCCUGUAACUAGUUUAUUAAAACUUUAAGUAUAUUUAUUUUUAAAAGUACAUCUUUUUCAACAUAGAUGAAUUAAGAAAAUCCAUGCUAUCAACAACGAUAGAUAACAACUUUAGUAACUUGCUUACUUGUUUCUUGUGCUAAAUUAAUGUAAAUAUGGAGAGUGAUUAUGUGAGAGAGAAACUUAAGGGAAGAGACAACAACUAUGAGUUAUUCACCUACAAACAGCAAAAUUUUUUGAGUAAGAGACAAGAAACGUGAGAAGAAAAAAAUUGCAGGGAGCUUAAUGUAAAGCAGAAGUUCUCUUCUACCUCUUACUAACCUUUAUUUAUUUAUUUUUUUGAAUGCAGAUAACAUAUUUUAGCUGUGCUGUAGGGUGAGUCUUCCUCAAUCACAUAUCACCUGCCCCCACCCCACUAGCCUGUCUUCCUCCCACUAAGCCAAAACCUGGUCCUUGAACCUGGAACUUAUGAGGCAUAAGCGAACAGCAGAUGGCUCUUUGUAAUACAACUCAAGUUGAGAAAGGAAAUAGACUCAGCAUAAGUUACAGGAGACAUAGAUAUCAGCACUAAGUUAAUCUUUGCGGAGAGGAGAGAAGGCCUGUGCCACUGCCCCCUCCACUUAUAGGAUCUUAAGCACCAUCCUCACCCCAAACUACCACCGUACCCAGCAGGGGAGGGAGAGAGAGUAGCGAGAAAGGACAGCCCAAGGUGAGUGCUUAACCCAGGAGGAGGCUGACCCUUGGAAAAACAGGGGGAGUAGAAGGAUGAGGGUGAGGAGGAGGGUCAGGGGAGCGUGUCAGUUCAGGCGGUCUGAGAAGCAGCCCUCCAAAUGGGACUAGAUGUGCAAGAGAUUUAUUACGGGCCUUGCCUCUGAAGGAUAAAGGAGGAGGGCGCAGGUGUAGGCAGCAACGUCUUUCUGAUACUGUGAGAGUGGCUCGGAAGGAGGAUGGGGUAGGAAGAGCUCUAGACUGCAACACAUUCAGAAAAAAAUUUAGCCAGGUCAAGGGGAGUCCCAGACCACAGUUUGCCCUUGGAAGAGUCUCAGGGUGGGAGGAUAUGCCCUGGCUGUCAUCCCUCUGCUGUGCUCAGUCACUGGCCUUGGGGUGAGCGCACAAUAGAGCUGAAGGUGUCCCUACAGCAGGCUUUCUUGCAGAGAGCUCUUAGCGGGGUAAUUCAGGGCUGCCACAAGGAGGGGUACAUUGCAUUGACGUGGAGUGCUCCUUAGAGGGACUCUCAGGAUCUAGGACUAAGGCCCUGGAUCUGGGUCAGAGCAAGGAGACGAAUUAAACAGAGAACUCCCUUUUGAAUCUCUGCCCACCUGUCUGUAGGUUGGAAAAUAUUAAGGGCUGUUUGACUCUUUUCCAAGAUUCUCUGAGCUUGACAAGCUACCAGUAAGGCCAUUUGGCUGUGAACACGUAGUACUAUGCUCCUAUCUGUGAUUCUCAUUUUGACACUUAAUCACAUUACAUGUGGACAUGGGCAGCCAGUCACUGCAUCUGAGUAUAUAUUGGUCAGCCUCUAUUAAAUGCAAACCUUACAGGGCACCUGCUUGGCCUCAGCCAAACCAAAAGUGGUUUCUCCCUCCUCUCAGCUACAUUGAGUCCCUCCACACAUAUUGUUUUUUGUCUUGCACUUUAUAUAUUUGCGUAUGUGAUUUCUCCCAGCGUCCACAGACAGUAAGCAACUUGAAGAUAACAAUUGUCUUACACUUUGAAUCAGCACUGCCUUGCACACACAAUUGGUGUGGACUUCAACAUCAGUUAUUAGGUUGCUGCAAACAUAAUUGCAGUUUUUGCCAUUAAAGGUAAUGGCAAUUAUGUUUGCACCAACCUAAUAAAUAAAACAAAGGGGCAGGAUUGGGCAGAUAGAAAGGUAGGGUGGAAAAAACACGAUGGAAACAUUUAUUUUUAUUUCAGCCUACUUAUUCUCAGAAGGUCUUUAAAAUAGAAGACAUAGGUGUGUUACAGCCAUUAAACAGGAUAAAAAUGUAAGAACAAAGGAAGAGGGUGGAGUUGGAGACAGCUUGUUAUACCAGAAAAAACUAGGCUAAGGAUUGCUACUGAGAUUAAAUGCAAACUUUGCUUUUGACCUUUUCCUGGCAAGCAAGACAAAAAGGGAAAACACGAGUUAUAUAAGGUUCUUAUUAGCUAAUAAAAAGAAGCAUGCCAGUUUUUCCUAUAGAAGCAUUUUUUUCUCUAGUACUAACUCUAAGAGGAAUUUAUUUUAUGGCCCCUUAUAGAGCCAUUGAAUUUUAAAAUAUAUGAUGGUUUCAAUAAGAGUUUUAUAAAAAAUAUAUGGAAACUUUUUUCUAUAUGACUAUUUCUUAUAUUGAUUUUUGAUAAAUGCCAUAGUUUAUAGAUGACAUUUCUAUGGAAACUUAGGGUGUAGUUUAACCAUCAGCAGUGAAAUGAAUUUGAGCCCAUAGCUUUUGGAAGGACCCUGGAAAUGGUACAUUUCAAUAAUAAUGACCACAAAAUUAUAUCCAAAUAGAAUAUAACUUUGGCUGCAUUUCUUUGACAUUUGGCUUAAUAGCUCUGUUCCGGUAUACACAUUUUGAUUUGACAUUGGGCUUUCAUGAUAGUUAGAAUAGUCUAAAUUCCAUAUAUGUGUAAUGACCUAAAAUUGAUUCCAGCACAUCCUAAACUAAACAUUAGUAGAAAUCACUCUGGGGGAUGUGAAAGGUAUUCUAAAAGACCUCUGGUUUAUAAAUCAGUUUAAGCACCCAACCCAAUUAAACAAGUUUCUUUUGUACUCUGGGACUUCUUCGAGAUAUGAACAUGAUAAUAUAUCAUUACAGACUGGAUUCCCUGGUAAGUAGACUCUGACCUAGAGAUUAAUGUGCAGGAAGUUUAUUAUAGAUGGCUCUUGGGAUCAACGUCUAUAUUACGGAAGAGAAAGAGGCUGUGUCAGGUAGAGGAAGAAGUUGGGACAAACCCGUGGGGGAGGUCUGAAGCUGGGAUGGCUUUCUGGGAUUGUCCAAAGUUAUGUUAGGGGCUGGGUCUAUAUACCUGCACAUUGACCACUACUGGAUAUGGGCUGCCCAGGGAAAGGUUGUGCUCUUGGGCAAGGUGACUUUCUUCAGCCAAGGGCAGUUCCUGGAGAAGGCUAAGACCUGAAAGCUCUGGGCCAGCAGUACCGCCAGCAGCUGGGGGACUAUGUCCUUUGUUUCUGAAGGUGGGGCUUCACAGUGUAUGUCAGGACUUUGUAUGCACUGUUUACCUAACUAAUUAGCAAAAUAUACAUUAAUCCUGGAGCAUAGCCAAACAUCCCCUAGUCCUAGUGGUAAAUAGAAUAUGAUUUGUGAAAUGCUGCUUUAUUCCAGUGGUGUAUUCUUUAUUCUGUCAAUUGAGUAUUUCAGUUAGGUUGUAUAUUUGGCUGCUCCUACCAGAAGACAGAUAUCAGUGAUUUAGUCAAUUAGGAGAGUUUUUUUACUCAAUAAGUAAUAUGUACAAUUCAGGGCUCACAUAGCUGCACAAGGAGCUGGGUUCCUUAUCUUUCCUUUUUUUCUUUUUUUUAAAGAAUCUGACUUUUGUCUUUAUGGCUAAAGAAGCAGUGCUGUAUCCCACAGUAGUACAAAGGGCAAAAGAUGAGUGCCAGGCAUGGAUUGCAGAUUUCCACAGUCCAUGGUGACCAGACUGCAACUUACAGCAUCCAUGUAGAAUGGUCCACGGCACGCACGACAUUUCCGCUGAUAACCAAAACAGGGAAACCUUGCUAUUUUCUGUGAUCUCCCUCAGAGUUUUGACUGAGAGCACAUCUAUAAGUCUCAUCUACUAAGAAAUGGAUUUUGGUUCAAGGCAUGAAAACUUGUAUUUGAAGUGCCCAAAUGGAAACUCACUGUGGGCAUUGGGCUCUCACCAUUGGCCAAGAUUCCCUGCCCCGGUGAGGCCGGAAGCAGUUCAGACACCUGACUUCUGGCAACAUGUGAGCCUGACCCAAGCAGAUCACUGGUGACCAGUAAAUAUUGAAGCUCCAAGGUUCUUCCUUUAACAUACUGAAUUAAUGAGCCCCCUAGGGGCAUCCCCUAAAAUGACUGAGAUUUAAUUUCUCUCUAGCCUGAAUAAAGACUUAGAGCAGAUUAAAUUUGAUUUAGAGGAAGAAAAAAGCAGAGUGACUUUCUUACAACUUAGUAUUCUCAACUAAAAUUCAUACCCACAACACACAAAUACAUCCACACCAACACCCACCUAUCCACCUACCCACAUGCAUGCUUUGGAGGAUUUUGGAAGAGUGCUGAAUGGCAUGUUAUAAUUUUUCAAUUCGUUUAAAUAUUUAAAAAGUGAUAGUCUUUUAUGACUGGGUGCGGUGGCUCACGCCUGUAAACCCAGCACUUUGGAAGGCUGAGGCAGGUGGAUCAUUUGAGGCCAGGAGUUUGAGACCAGCCUGAGCAACGUGGCAAAACACCAUUCUACUAAAAUUAGAAAAAUUAGCCAGAUGUGGUGGCACAGGCCUGUGAUC